UGUAAUUUAUUUUUAAAGCUCAACACCUUUAUAGCAAUUUUUCAUUUUUUCAUAUUCAAUGCAAAUAUCAAUGCACUCGUUGUUGACAGUCGCACGGUUCGACACGCGCGGAACGUAACAGCCCCGGCAAGGUGCAAAAGGUCAGCGACCCAAUAAUAUCCUGGAAGCUAUCCAAGCAGCUCUAUAGCAAAUUCCAGGAAAAUCAAUCAAUUCAGUUGCCUUAAUAAAAUAGAGAGCUUAUGGCAAAAGUGGAACCACGAGCAGAACAAGUCAAAUGCAUAAAAGAAAACGGAAAAUACGCUCUUGAAUGACGACAGCAGUGCCAAUAAGUUUCUCUAUUUGGAAGUUAAAGAUAACCAAUAGAUAACUGCCUCUUAUCCCAGGUAAAUAGACAACAUCACUUCCGACUUACCUUAACCAUUAGCGCCGAGGUGCGCUCGGAAGUAUUGUAGAAUUGUGAGACACUGUAGAUGAGACGCACCGUCUGAAGCAAAGCCAAUAUGGACUCCUUCAUGCUGACAGGAUCGUCCAGAUACAAUGAAUGACAACAUGUCUCCAUGGCCUGUAUAAACUUGGAAUUGUCGCGCGCUUCGUUGUAGCAGAAUGUUAUCUUGCGAUCGGUUUCCUUCCACUGACGCAUUACCCUUGAACCGGCGAGAAAGAGGCAAUGGAGAGUGAAUUGCACUUCCUUGUCCUGCAGAUGGGCGAGCAGCUGUGAGAAUUGUGCGCCACGUUUCUUCCAAUACUCCAGCUCGUCCUGGGGUCCGCUGUGAUCGUUCUCCUUGCGCAGCUGCUCACUCUCGCCCAGUAUUUUCAGUAUGCCCUUUGUCCAGUUGUUGACGCGCUCCUCCAGCUGCGUGCAGAAUUCCUGAUUCUUGGCCAUGUCCUUGACCUCCUCGACAACUAUGCAGCCAUCAAACAUAUCGCAGCCAUCGGCAAACACAUUAUAAUGAUCGCAGACCUGCUCACAAACGCGCAGAGCGCUGCAAAAGGAGCGCAAUCCCGGCAGCAGUUGCCCUUUUAUGAGACCGCAGCUCACGUCUUCCUCAUCGCCUUCGAGGCUGGGAAAGGCCAAUGCCUGCAUAAACACAAACUCCACAAUACGCUCUAUGGAUGUGACCAGGCCAAUAUUCUUGGCGUCGAUGACGCCACAGUAUCUAAAUAAAUUAGGGAAGAGAAGGCGACCAAAAUAUUCAAUUACCAAUACCCUCAAUCAUGUGUGUGCGUCUCUGUGUGUGUGUGUGUGUGUGUGUGUCGUAUAAAUCCCCGAUAAUCCGCGUGCCAACAAACUAACUAAAAAUUGGCUAUUCUUAGAUAACAGUUUUUAAGUUUAGUCGAAUCAAAAAGAAAUCUAUGAAAGAUAAACAAAGGCGCAAACUAAAACGGAAAACAAACGUGGAGCAGUCAAGAGUUUCCGACUAGCAGAUACCACGUACCCAGCGGCGAUUCAUAUUAAAGAUAAACUGGUUGAAGUUAUUUAACUCUUAGCGAUAUAUAUAAAUUAUGAUACAAUGAUCAACUCUUUUAUACAAACGGAAGGCAUUAGACCAGCAUAGCCGUUAAAACAUUUUCAAUGGGUAGAGGAUAACGAAAAACUUACAAAUCCUUUUGAAAUCCCUCCUCGGGCAGCUGCUUUGACGUAUUCACGCGAAAGAUAUAAAUACAGACGCCGGUAAAGGCGCAGGUCCAGCCAUCGGUUAGGAACAGUUUCUUAUGCUUGGAUGCCGGCAGGCCGCUGGGCGAGGCACCACCUAAAAGGAAAGGCAAUAUAUAUUUCGACCAGAUAUUGGUAUAUCAAUUUGAUGUUCAACAUACCCUGUGGCGUCUUCGAGCUGCUCGAUGCCAUGCCUGUGCGCGAAGGUCCUGGCUUAUUGGCAUCCACCACUGGCGGAGGUUCCGGCUCAUCCACCUCCUGAUAGAACCACAGCAGCUUGUUCUUCAUGUUCGGCAGAAAUAGCUGAUUAAUCUCAUCGAGCUGUCCAUGAGCUGAUGCCGCGGCAGCUGUGUGGCGUCUAUCAGCAGCUGGAAUGUGAACUCCAAACGGGGAUCCAUCUCCCCACGGCGCGCCUUGCGCUCGCAUUCUUCGCGUCGACGCUGCGCUUCGUCCGGGUCCAUGGCCAUGUUUAUUGUUUUAUUUAUUUUUUUUUAUCAAAUAUCCAUAUAAAUGGAUUAUAUAUAUUAAACCGUUGGAGUUACCAAAAAAUACGCGCAGUAAAAGUUUAUCAGGUGCCGCAGAAUGUUCAUUUAUUGAUAUUAUAUAUGUAUUAAAAAUAUAAUUUAUUAA